GGAUACAAAUCCUACCGCGGGACCACCGCCCUCAACGGCUCCAACACCCUGAACGGCCGACGUCCCCAGCACCGCAUGCGGAGGAGCACCGAAGCACAGGCACACCACCGCCGCCGCAUGCUACCGGAGCUCAAACACCACAGCCACCGCCGCUGAGCACCGAAGCCUCAAUACCACCACCAAUAUCAACCGCGCGACCACCACUCCCAACCGCUGCAACACCCUGAACUGCGGACCGCCCCACCAAGUAGUGCUUUAUAGGAAAAGUUCAACUGCUUCUGCUGAAGAGGUGCAGAAGUAGUCAAACGUUCACUGAAGCGUCCAGCUCCUCCUCGCUUGGGAAGAAAGUUAACUGAGACUCAAAAUGCAAGCGUCUUCUUGAACUUUACGAGUUGAUCUAGCUGUGGAAUUUCAAGAUGAAAUCAAUUUGCAUACUCCUAAGUCAAUACUAAUGGCAUAUAGCUUAUUGAGAAUUAGGGGAACAGUCAUAUUCUUACUCCACGAGCUAUUCGCAGCAAAGGUCGUCCUCCAUUCAAAAGAAAGUAAUCAAAGGUUGAACAAAUUGUUCGUAAAGUAAAAGAGAAGAAAUUGCAAAAGCAAGAAAAUGAAGAUAAAGCUUGAAGGAUUGCUGGAUACCCAAGCAUGUGUGCCUCUUGUAGUUUGUUUAGGACUAAUAUGGGUGUUACAUGAGUAAUGUGGUUUCAUUUUACCUCUUACGUUGUAUUAUGCUAGAUUGUUGCACCGUAGGCAGAUUCCAGGAGUGUUU